rnacentral:misc_RNA from 1 species
UGUACCCUCAAGCUUUGCUUGGUGUUGGGUGUAUGUUCUCUGUGCUUGCGCAGAUUGGACUCGCCUUAAAACAAUUGGCAGCCGGCACAUUGGCCUGGAGCGCAGCACAUUUUGCGCCUCUUGUCAUGGUUGUUGGCAUCCAUCAAGAUCUUUUAUCAGCUCUUGACCUCGGAUCAGGUAGGGAUACCCGCUGAACUUAA